GUACAUACUAGUAUGUACUACUAGUACUAUUAGUACUACUACUAGUAGCACAUAUUAAUACUCGUAGUGUUCCUAGUACUAGUAUGUACU
rnacentral:tRNA from 1 species